AGCAUAACAAGAACAACAACAAAAAAGAUGUAAGUAGUUGCCAUAUCGCCCAAAGCUAAGAGCACACAGCGAACCGCAAAAUACGCAGAAACCACUGCAAAAAUCAGUACACCCACAACAAGUCAAAGUGUACAUGUGUUCGUGUGUGUGUGUAGAAUUGAGUGCACGUCUUGGGUUGCGCUUCAGUUACCUUCGACAAAGGAAAGCAGCGACGCCAAAGCUGACGCUGGCCGCGGCAGAGGCGGCGUCUAACGGCGUAACGAAGGCAAUUCUCAAUAUGUGCGUGAGCCGCCCCACAAAAUUGCUGCUGCUGUCGCUUCUGCCCCUCUGACGCUAGCUGAAAGGUUUGCGCGCGCGCUGCUGAUAUCAACAACAAGAAGAGCAACAAAAGAAGCGCAACAAAAGCAGCGCGGCGUAGAUAAGCGUACACACACACACACACACACACACCUACGCGCACACAUGCGCACCCAGUGUGAAUGCAACUGUGUAUGGAAAUAGAAAAUAGUAAAAAGCAAAACAAAUUAAAAUGGAAGAAGGUGUGUGAUGAAAUUGAUAACAAGCAGCGUUUUCUAGUUGUGUCUAGUGAUAACAGUUUGUUUGAGCAGAGCAAGCCGUCUGACAAAGACAGAGAGCGAUAGAAAGAGCGUAUCCAGCUCUCUGACUCAUAAAGGUAAUAAGCGGUCGAAGGUUCGUUUUAAUUCCAUUAAUCAUCAAAGCGCGCGCUCCCAAUCACAAAACGCUUGCGACUACCCCCCUCAUUGGGUAAACCGCACCUGUGCAUGCCAAGCAGCAGUAGCAGCAGCAGCAUUCAAGUGGAUUUUUGUUCAAAGCACGAGCAGAAGAAAUGUCAGAAAUUUGUGUGCGGAGAUAAGCGACAUUCAAUUCAAUUAAUGGCGCGCGCAGCACAAAAACACACAGGCACAUAUAUACACACGAACACAUACACACACACACACACAUAUUGCAGCAUAAAACUGGCGAGAGGCUGAGAAUAAAACUGUAAUCGUAAUCCCUGCAGAGCAAGAGUAACAGCAGCAGCAGCAGCAUAUACAACACCAACAACAACAACAACGACGCCAGGCAAGACUCUUUCGGCAGCAGCGCGCAGCGAAUAAGAAGUAGCGUAGUAUGAGAAGAAAAAAAUUUUCUUUCAGCCAAACGUAAUUGCACUGCUACUGUGCUUAUUUUUGCAAUGGAAAUGCACAUAAAACUGUUUGAAAGCUA